ACGCACGCUGGCGGCGUGCUUAACCCCUGCAAGUCGCACGGUGAUGCUCCAGCUUGCUGGAGUGGAUCAGUGGCGAACGGGUGAGUAACACGUGAGCAACCUGCCCCAGACUCUGGAAUAAGCGCUGGAAACGGCGUCUAAUACUGGAUACGAAACUGGCCCGCAUGGGCAUGGUUUGGAAAGUUUUUCGGUUUGGGAUGGGCUCGCGGCCUAUCAGCUUGUUGGUGAGGUAAUGGCUCACCAAGGCGACGACGGGUAGCCGGCCUGAGAGGGCGACCGGCCACACUGGGACUGAGACACGGCCCAGACUCCUACGGGAGGCAGCAGUGGGGAAUAUUGCACAAUGGGCGAAAGCCUGAUGCAGCGACGCCGCGUGAGGGAUGACGGCCUUCGGGUUGUAAACCUCUUUCAGCAGGGAAGAAGCGAAAGUGACGGUACCUGCAGAAGAAGCACCGGCUAACUACGUG
rnacentral:rRNA from 1 species